rnacentral:piRNA from 1 species
UACUACAGUAACACUUGUCACAGGGGCC